GUCCUCUUGAUGGCCGUUCUCAGAUUCUCUGUCUAGAUGAUCAUCUUCGUUUGGGCCCGUUUCUUGGCCACAUGACUUCUCGGCAGCAUUCGGAGGCGUUGACGAGUCAGGCACAAAUUCCUUGAUCACCCGCAAUAUUAGUUAGAUAUUCAUAAAUUUGGGAGAUAUAUCGUAAUACUGAAGGCCCGUCGUAUCGCACCUUACGCCUCUUCACGUCAACUUUGUUACCACAUAAUACAAUCGGGAUCUCAUCGCCGGCCGUUUCCCUCAACUCUCCUAGUCUACCAUGAGUUCAAGGUCGCUCAAGGGCAGAUCGGUGGUUAAACUCUGACAAGAUAAAGUAGGAAGGGCAAGAAAGGAGAAUGCUAACACUCCCCUACCAGGGUUGGAGAAUCCACUGACUGUCAUAAAACGUAGUGGAUGGACCUCUACUCCAAGAGUUGGAAUGUUUCUCUCGUCAAACUCGCCACAAAGAUGCCUCUUCACGAAAGUUGUCUGUAUUUGCAUGCUUAGUAGCAUGGAAUCAAACAGUGGAUCUGAUAGAUGAUGUGCCUUACUUUCCCUACACCUCCAUCUCCAACCACUACCACCUUGAAUGUACGAACGGGGAACUCCAUGUUAGCAGGAAGCCAUAGACAUUGAUAGUCAAAACGUUUGAUUGAAAGUGAGCUCCUUGUCUUUUAUCCCGUUCAAUUCCAAGGGCAGGGUGGACGCUCAGGAACAUAAAAGAUCAUCAGCAAGGCGGUAAAAGCAAGAUGCGGGGGAAGCUGUCAUCGUACAAGAAUAGAACAGCACACUUUCGGAGACCACGCCCAAACAUGGGUUUAUGCGUAUGAGAAACCAACUUCCAGGGUUGAAGUUCGUUCUGGAAGGGCUACAUCCAAUCAUCCCUCUAGCGGGGCUUCAUUACGUCCAGUAGCGUGCGACUGAGCGCGCAAGGCAGAGAUCGUAAUGCACACCGGCGGUUAGCUAUUUUACUCCGUACCAUUAACUUCAACCUAUACUGAGGUAUUACUCUACCGGCACAGUGUGAAAAGAGAUGAAGUUCUGGAUAACGUGGUCUCACUUCUGCAGAGAGAAGAGAGAGGGCUGCGCACUCUCCAGUGCAGAAGAUAGAAUCAAAGAAAAGAG
rnacentral:sRNA from 1 species